CCUACGGGAGGCAGCAGUGAGGAAUAUUGGUCAAUGGACGAGAGUCUGAACCAGCCAAGCCGCGUGAAGGAUGACUGCCCUAUGGGUUGUAAACUUCUUUUAUAUGGGAAUAAAACGUUCCACGUGUGGGAUUUUGUAUGUACCAUAUGAAUAAGGAUCGGCUAACUCCGUGCCAGCAGCCGCGGUAAUACGGAGGAUCCGAGCGUUAUCCGGAUUUAUUGGGUUUAAAGGGGGCGUAGGUGGAUUGUUAAGUCAGUUGUGAAAGUUUGCGGCUCAACCGUAAAAGUGCAGUUGAAACUGGCAGUCUUGAGUACAGUAGAGGUGGGCGGAAUUCGUGGUGUAGCGGUGAAAUGCUUAGAUAUCACGAAGAACUCCGAUUGCGAAGGCAGUUCACUGGACUGCAACUGACACUGAGGCUCGAAAGUGUGGGUAUCAAACAGGAUUAGAUACCCGAGUAGUC
rnacentral:rRNA from 1 species